rnacentral:lncRNA from 1 species
GGUUUCUUCUCCAGUAUACCCCAGCUACCCAGCUCCCUUUGCACCUAGUGCAGACACAAGUUUUGCCGUAGAACAUUUUUUAUUAACUUUUCUGUAAGGUAGACUGUAAGGUAAGAAGACUGUCCGACUCAAUCUUUGAACCUACUUGAAAAACAAUAAACUAAGCCGUAGAACACACUGUGUUUUUUUCUGAAGUAGACCACAGCUACCCAGCUCCCCUUUGCGCCUAUUGUGGACAAUGAUUUGACAUAGAACAUUUUUUUUAUUAUUUUUUUUCUGUAAGGUAGUGGGGUAGGGUGUCCGACCCCAUAUUUUGCACUUUCUUUUAAAAAGAAUAAACUAAGCCGAAGAACACCCUGUGUUUUUUCUCAAGUAAACCACAGCAACCCGACC